rnacentral:rRNA from 1 species
AAUUAACGCUGGCGGCAUGCCUAACACAUGCAAGUCGCACGAGAAAGCCCGGUUCGCCGGGCGAGUAAAGUGGCGCACGGGUGAGUAACGCGUGGAUAAUCUACCUCUUUCUGGGGGAUAACGCACCGAAAGGUGCGCUAAUACCGCAUAACCCGGUUGAUUUUUGGAUUGAUCGGUAAAGGUGGCCUCUUCAUGAAAGCUACCGGGAAGAGACGAGUCCGCGUCCCAUUAGCUUGUUGGUAGGGUAACGGCCUACCAAGGCGACGAUGGGUAGCUGGUCUGAGAGGACGAUCAGCCACACUGGAACUGGAACACGGUCCAGACUCCUACGGGAGGCAGCAGUGAGGAAUAUUGCGCAAUGGGGGAAACCCUGACGCAGCGAUGCCGCGUGAGUGAAGAAGGCCUUCGGGUCGUAAAGCUCUGUCAAGUGGGAAGAACAGUUUGGGGACGAAUAAUCCUCGAGCCUGACGGUACCACUGAAGGAAGCACCGGCUAACUCCGUGCCAGCAGCCGCGGUAAGACGGAGGGUGCAAGCGUUAUUCGGAUUUAUUGGGCGUAAAGAGCGUGUAGGCGGCCGGCCAAGCCAGAUGUGAAAGCCCAGG